GAGGAAUAUUGCACAAUGGGGGAAACCCUGAUGCAGCGACGCCGCGUGAGUGAAGAAGUAUUUCGGUAUGUAAAGCUCUAUCAGCAGGGAAGAAAAAAAGUCCUUUGGACUUUGGACGGUACCUGACUAAGAAGCCCCGGCUAACUAC
rnacentral:rRNA from 1 species